rnacentral:tRNA from 1 species
AAGAAUGUAGUUUAUAAUAAAAUGUUAAAUUGUAAAUUUAAAGAUUUAAGUUCUUGU